rnacentral:lncRNA from 1 species
GGGGCUCCUUGGAAGGUAGGAGGUAGGGCAAGGUAUGGUUCGAAGCAGUUAAAACAACUGGACCCAGGGUUGUUCUUGGCCGGAAAGGGAGACUGCUCUGUUCCCUCUGCCUUUGGGGAGUCAGCCCUGCUGGUAAACUGGAGCCAAUGACCUUAGUCAAGGCAGCCGAGAGCCUCAGUUUCCUUGACUGUCGAAGUGAGAGGGAAAGUAGCUAGUUCCAGGGUUGCGUAACUCUUCUCGUGAACAAUCUCCUUAAUCCCAAAAUAACUUCCAGGGUAAAAGUGCCAUCGAUUUUAAAAUCUCCUUUUUAAGGAAAUGAAACCACCGCUGUAGCGAACACAUAGUUCAUCAAGUGCCUGUCAAUUUCAGACGCUGUUAAUAACAUAAAAAAGAAAGGGAGUCCUCGGACUUGUGCAAGUACAACCUGAUUGGUACUUUGUCUUGCAGCGGGACUUCCCGGUCAUCGUCAUCCUCCGCUCCCCGCGCUCAGCCUGGCCCGAGCUCGGCUUCCCCAGCCCCUGUCCACCGCCCACCUGCUGAGGAGCAGCAGAGUGCUGUGUCACUCAGGAGUUGGGGACCCCUGACCCAGCCCAACCGCCCUCGUGCGCUGUGCAGAAAGAUUUUUUUAAAGAGCCUCGUGGGGCAUAGCACCAUCGGUAAAUGCCUGGUACAUUUAAGAAGCCUGACUGUGGGAGAGGCCCUCUACAAACGCUGUUACCUGGAAUCUGAGAACUAACGCCAUUCUCCAUUUCAAGAUGCCUUUGCCGUUUUGACAGAUGCAAACUGACCCCUCUCGAGGCCACGGCAGAAGGGGAAUCGUGACUGUCUGAAGCCUGGAAGACUGCCCUCAAUUAAGGAAA